GCUUUUGUCUUUGGAUAUAGACAUUUCACCAGUAAUAUUGGACCAGAUGUAUGUGGGGUUUUCUUCCGCCACUGGCCGACUAGUACAAUCUCAUUAUGUUCUGGGUUGGAGUUUUCAGAUGGAAGGGAAAGCUCAGCUUGAUCUAUCUCGACUGCCAUCUCUCCCUGGAAACCUGCAAUCUAAAAGCAGAAACAAGGAAUUAGCAAUUGGAUUGUCCAUAUCUGGAGUUGUAUUGGCAGCCAUAAUAUUCUCCUUCAUUGUUUUUCUAUCUAUGAAAAGGAAAGACAAAUUCACUGAGAUAAUAGAAGAUUGGGAGGUUCAAUAUGGACCUCAUAGGUUCUCAUACAAGGACCUAUUUGCAGCUACCAAAGGAUUCAGAGAGACAGAGCUGCUUGGAAAGGGAGGUUUUGGAGAGGUAUACAAAGGUGUGCUUCCUGUAUCCAAAACCCAAGUUGCAGUUAAGAGGAUUUCUCACAACUCUAAACAAGGAAUGAAAGAAUUUGUAGCUGAGAUUGCAACCAUUGGCCGGCUACGACACCCCAAUUUGGUUCGACUACUUGGCUAUUGUCGCG
rnacentral:misc_RNA from 1 species